rnacentral:lncRNA from 1 species
GUGUGUUCUUGUUGUUUCGGUUGAUCCUUCCACACAAUUAUUGAUCAGGCAAAGUAAAAUCCUUUCAACAGAGAGAUUAUUUAGUGUGACUGAUAUACAAGAUGAUACACCAUAUGUUAUUAAAUAAAUGAUGAGAUAUGCAUGGGCGAAGCUACAUAAGGGCGAGGAGGGGCCGCCCCUCCUCUCGCCGAAAAUCAAGCCCAGGAGUGGUGGUUCUGCCUUUCUGAUCCCUUCAAAAGUGAUGAAAUUCCGUUUGGUGCUCUAGCUUUCUGGGUUUCCCUUCUGCUGCAUAGCGCAGGCUGCACGUGAGCUGUCUAUUUUUUUCAAAAUACCCAAGGCCAAAGAAAGGAGGAAGGGAGACCUGUAAUUUGCAGUUUCUGAAAUGGAGUUCAGGUUCCAAUGAAGAAAACGAGGGAGGAAGAAGAGACUCUCUCUCUCCCAUCCCAUCCCACGUGUCCUUGUAAAAUUCACCCAAUUUUAACUAUUGUCCAACCAAUUUGCACCACCUAACUUGAUAUUUACAUGUACUUUUCUUAUAUUUGUUUUUUAGUUAUUGUCUAAUUAGUUUGCCCAUAUAGUUUCCAAACUACGUAUUUGCCAAUCUUAUUUAUGUUAAAAUUAACUACAAAUUCAUACUAGCUUCAAAAAUAUUUUGUUGUAUUAUGAACUCGUAAUGCUUUGAAUUUUUAUGUCUUACAUCAAAUUCAACAAAUAACAAAUAAAAUUGUCAAUAUUUUUAUAUAUUAUGUGUUUUUUAAUCAAUUUUUUUAUAGAUAUUAUCACUAUAUAAUAAAUAAACACUUAUUUAUACGUACAACCUAGUUCAUCUAGAUCCUCGCCUAAGCGUUGGGUCACGUCCACCGCUCAUCCAGCACUUACGUCUUAGAACUUUACUCGGUAUAUAGUUAUGUAAUGACAUGAUACAACAAGAAAGGAUAAAGGAUGCUUAAAUCCUCCUCCACAUAAUAAUGUAGUUCAAAUACUCUUUCGAAUAUUUUGAAUAUUUUGGUCAGUGCAAAUUCUCCUACGAAUAUUCUGGGUAGUUCACAUAAUCUUCUUGCCAACCCAAGACUUGGACCUUGAACGGAUGUCCACAUUUUUUAGGACCUUAAACCUUUUAAAUGUCGCCUCUCCCCUCAACAAUUUCUGGCUUCGCCACUGGAGAUAUGGGUACUAAAAAGUUAAUAACUUAAAAAAUAAGAUUUCUCACAAUUCUUAUUAAAACACGUGAUGUACCACUUAUGUUCUCGUCAUAAUUAAAAAUUUCUCUUUUCUACGCAGUUGAAGAUCUUUGCAUGCAUGAUUGCCAGGUGGCAUAUCAAUAACCAGAAUUAUUGUUUCUGGAUUCUGGCGUUCAGUAGCUGUAAUUAUUGUACCUCGUUAUUCUUAUCCUGGUUAGGAUGAGCCUGUCAGGCCUAGUACUAGGUGUCCAAUUAUUUGGGUUUGCGGAUAACAUCAGUUGACGUUUUACAAGUGGCUCCGCCCAAAUGCCAAUUAUCUUCCUUUAUUAGCACUAGAUGUGUGUGAUUAGGUGACACACCAUUUAUCUUAACUUAUGCCAUAAAAUUAAUUAUUAAAUCUUGGCUAAUCACAGAUGGAAUUGACUUAUUGAUGUCUCAAGCGCAAAUUAAUGCUCCUCCUAUGUUAGGGUUAUCGGUUCUAGAUACAACCGGUGACUUCAUGGUGCGUGGACCACCAAAAACCUACAAUUAUAUGUCUUUAUUUAUAUGGUUUAGGGCUGGUUUGCCUCAAUUACAAACAAUCACUUGAUUAAUGUAAGCAUUAAGCAACAGAUUCAUAGUUUGUUAGUUUCCCUAAUUUGGGUUGAACACAAUUUAAGAUACGUUUCAUAACUAUUUCAAUUUUAGUUGAUAAAUAUAUAUAUAUAUAUAUAUAUAUAUAUAUAUAUAUAUAUAUAUAUUUUUGGCUUAAGAUAUGAGAGAAGUAUACAAGAGAAAUGAGGGAUGAAUUAGGAGAAUUGGAGAGAGGAGAAUAAAUAAGCAUGAAUUAAUGAAGAUAAUAUCUUAAAAGUGAAAAACAACUUAAAUUAUGAGCUAUUUGAUAACCAUUUCGUUUUUAGUUUUUAGCUUUUAGCUUUGUUGACCCUAGAAACUACAAAGCCUACGUGGCGCGCAGGCCGAGUAAUCUAAAGGCUAACUACGUCCUUCGGU